rnacentral:rRNA from 1 species
AGACGUCUACAUUAGACUACCCCCGUAGUCCCAGCCGUAAACUAUGCGCGUUAGGUGUAUCGGUGACCACGAGUUACCGAGGUGCCGAAGGGAACCGUGAAACGUGCCGCCUGGGAAGUACGGUCGCAAGGCUGAAACUUAAAGGAAUUGGCGGGGAGCACCACAACAGGUGGAGCCUGCGGUUUAAUUGGACUCAACGCCGGGAAGCUCACCGGAUAGGACAGCAGAAUGAUUGCCGGGCUGAAGACCCUGCAUGACUAGCUG